GGACGGUUUUGAAUACUUUAGAGAUAGAUAACCUGAUUACAAACCCUAAGAAGAAACAAGAAUGCCUUUGGGAGAUGUUUUGAAAGCAAAGGCUUCACUCUCCUUAUUUAUAUUUCCUUAAGCUUCAUCAUGAGAAACUGUUUCAGAUAUUUCAGAAAAUCUCUAUUGACCAAUUAAUUAUUCUAUUGUUCACGUAUUUUUGUACAUUUCUGUGUCUUCUGUUAGUAGAUGUUCAACUUCAUUGUAGUUGAUUGAUCCUAUCCAAAGCAAAAGUAUUUUCAAAACUUAACGUCUAGUGUGAUAAAUCUGGUAGGUCUGGUCAUAACUGUAGAAAGGGAUGGAUAUACAUGUGUUUUCAUUAUUAUAUGAUAAGCAGAACUUCUUCUUGCUGGUCAAAUUCAGGAGAAAAUUCAUGUCUACCUACCAUUUUACUUAAUGGUGUCUGAGUAUUAGUGAAAGACAAAAUUUGAACAACCCUUAAUAUAGCAAUUAUGCCACUAAAUAGCUGCUCAUCCAGAGUCUCUUUAAACUUUGACUCUAAGUGUAAAACGAAACAUAAUAAUUUUGAUUUCUAUAAAAGAGUGCAGAAUCCUUAUUAUUGUUUUCAGAAUUAUACAACUCUACCUUUCUGUCCCCUAUCAUAAUUCACACUAAAUCCCUCUAACCUUAAUCUUCUUUAAAAAUAAUUAACUUACCUGCCUUUCCUUUUACGUUCAGAUUCAAAUACAAAAUGUGGAAUAAUAUCGCCUUUACAUUUGGUUCCAAAUUUUCAUCCAGAGUGCUGAAACUAUGGGAGAAUAGGCUUCAGAAUAAUAAAUGAAUUCCUUUAGGCAGAAGACAAGGUCUGAUAUAUUCUUUGUUAUUUAUUCACUCUGCUUCUUGCAGAGUUAACAGAGUUCUGCACACAGUGGCACUUAAUUAAUAUCCAGUGACGAUGGAAAUACUUUUUAAAUGGUUAUUAUCAUUAACUGUUCUUCAUAGCAUCCCUAGGAGGCAGUGUCAGAAUAAUUACCUAUGUUUUACAGGUUGUUUAUGCUUUAUCUGUGCAUACCAUUCUGCAAUGGAAAUGGAUAAAGAAGAAGAGAUAAUUUCUGUAUUGUACUUCAGAAUGAAAAAUGGAUUGGAUGUGCAUGUUUGGCUAGGGAAGGCCUAUUCCUCACACAGUGGUGCAGGCAAGACAAGUCAGUAAAGUGGACAAGGAUGAUGGCAACAAUAUGAAAACAACUGGACUAAUUCAAAGAACAGCUAUAAAAGGUAUUGGCAGGAAUUAUUGGUUGGUCGAAAAUGAAUGUGGAGACAAAAAAGUCACUUUUACACUUUACAAAGG
rnacentral:lncRNA from 13 species